rnacentral:rRNA from 1 species
UACGUAGGGUGCGAGCGUUAAUCGGAAUUACUGGGCGUAAAGUGUGCGCAGGCGGCAGAGCAGGUCGAGUGUGAAAGCCCCGGGCUUAACUUGGGAAUUGCGCUCGAAACUACUUUGCUGGAGUGUGGCAGAGGAAGGUGGAAUUCCACGUGUAGCGGUGAAAUGCGUAGAGAUGUGGAGGAACACCAAUGGCGAAGGCAGCCUUCUGGGCCAACACUGACGCUCAUGCACGAAAGCGUGGGGAGCAAACAGG